GAUGAACGCUAGCGGCAGGCCUAACACAUGCAAGUCGAGGGGUAGAAGGAGCUUGCUCCUUUGAGACCGGCGCACGGGUGCGUAACGCGUAUGCAAUCUACCUUGUACAGGGGAAUAGCCCAGAGAAAUUUGGAUUAAUGCCCCAUAGUAUAUAACCUUCGCAUGUUGGUUAUAUUAAAGUUCCAACGGUACAAGAUGAGCAUGCGUCCCAUUAGUUAGUUGGUAAGGUAACGGCUUACCAAGACGAUGAUGGGUAGGGGUCCUGAGAGGGAGAUCCCCCACACUGGUACUGAGACACGGACCAGACUCCUACGGGAGGUAGCAGUGAGGAAUAUUGGUCAAUGGUCGCAAGACUGAACCAGCCAUGCCGCGUGCAGGAAGACGGUCCUAUGGAUUGUAAACUGCUUUUAUACAGGAAGAAACCCUCCCACGUGUGGGAGCUUGACGGUACUGUAGGAAUAAGGAUCGGCUAACUCCGUG
rnacentral:rRNA from 1 species